rnacentral:rRNA from 1 species
GACGAACGCUGGCGGCGUGCUUAACACAUGCAAGUCGAACGGAGUGGCGAACGGGUGAGUAACACGUGGGUGAUCUGCCUUGCACUUCGGGAUAAGCUUGGGAAACUGGGUCUAAUACCGGAUAGUGCAAGAUGAGCUCGCUGCCUAUCAGCUUGUUGGUGGGGUAAUGGCCUACCACGGCGUCGACGGGUAUCCGGCCUGCGAGGGUGUACGGCCACAUUGGGACUGAGAUACGGCCCAGACUCGUAGGGGAGGCAGCAGUGGGGAAUAUUGCACAAUGGGCGGAAGCCUGAUGCAGCGACGCCGCGUGGGGGCUGAAGGCCUUCGGGUUGUAAACUCCUUACGACAGGGACGCGGUACCUGUAUAAGAAGCACCGGCUAACUACGUGCCAGCCGCCGCGGUAAUAC